rnacentral:rRNA from 1 species
GACGAACGCUGGCGGCGUGCUUAACACAUGCAAGUCGAACGGUGAAGGGAUCAGCUUGCUGGUUCUGGAUGAGUGGCGAACGGGUGAGUAACACGUGAGUAACCUGCCCCCUUCUUCUGGAUAACCGCAUGAAAGUGUGGCUAAUACGGGAUAUUCUGCGCCUGCUGCAUGGUGGGUGUGGGAAAGAUAUUGUUUCGGUGGGGGAUGGGCUCGCGGCCUAUCAGCUUGUUGGUGGGGUGAUGGCCUACCAAGGCGGUGACGGGUAGCCGGCCUGAGAGGGUGGACGGUCACACUGGGACUGAGACACGGCCCAGACUCCUACGGGAGGCAGCAGUGGGGAAUAUUGCACAAUGGGCGCAAGCCUGAUGCAGCGACGCCGCGUGAGGGAUGGAGGCCUUCGGGUUGUGAACCUCUUUCGCCAGUGAAGCAGGCCUGUCCCUUGUGGGUGGGUUGACGGUAGCUGGAUAAGAGGCGCCGGCUAACUACGUG